rnacentral:lncRNA from 1 species
ACAUUUUAAAAAUAAAAAUAAAAGCAGUUUUUACUAACAUGUAUUUAAUUUAAUGAAAUACAUCCAAAGUAUUAGAUUUCAACAUGAAAUCAAUAUUUGAAAAAUUAUUAGUGAACUAUUUUGCAUUCUUCCUUCACACUAAGCCCCAGUGUCUGUCUGUCCUUUAUGCAGCCACCACAUCUCCACUCGCAUGAGCCGUGUGGCAGGUGCCCGGUGGCCACGCGCAGCUGCUGUGAGGGACAGUGCGUGGCGAUAGCCUUCUUACCCAAGAAGCUCCAUGGGAAACAAGCUCAGGCAGGUGCUGUUCUUCUUGCAGGUCCAGGGAUGGAUGGGAUCAUGGUGACCUGGAAAGACAACUUUGACUCCUUCUACAGUGAAGUGGCUGAGCUUGGCAGGUAUGAUGCACAACCCAGAAUGCCUUCUGAAAGAGCAGAGCAUGGGGAAG